GACGAACGCUGGCGGCGUGCUUAACACAUGCAAGUCGAACGGUAAGGCCCUUCGGGGUACACGAGUGGCGAACGGGUGAGUAACACGUGGGUGAUCUGCCCUGCACUUCGGGAUAAGCCUGGGAAACUGGGUCUAAUACCGGAUAGGACCACUGCCUGCAUGUGUGGUGGUGGAAAGCUUUUGCGGUGUGGGAUGGGCCCGCGGCCUACCAGCGUGUUGGUGGGGUGAUGGCCUACCAAGGCGACGACGGGUAGCCGGCCGGAGAGAGUGACGGGCAACACGGGGGCUGGGAUACGGCCCAGACUCCUACGGGAGGCAGGAGUGGGGAAUAUUGCACAAUGGGCGCAAGCCUGAUGCAGCGGCGCCGCGUGAGGGAUGGCGGCCUUCGGUUUGUAAACCUCUUUCAGCACCGACGAAGCGCAAGUGACGGUAGGUGCAGAAGAAGGACCGGCCAACUACGUGCCAGCCGCCGCAGUAA
rnacentral:rRNA from 1 species